rnacentral:rRNA from 1 species
AUUGAACGCUGGCGGCAUGCCUUACACAUGCAAGUCGAACGGUAACGCGGGGCAACCUGGCGACGAGUGGCGAACGGGUGAGUAAUGCAUCGGAACGUGCCCAGUAGUGGGGGAUAGCUCGGCGAAAGCCGGAUUAAUACCGCAUACGAACUACGGGUGAAAGCGGGGGACCGUAAGGCCUCACGCUAUUGGAGGUGCCGAUGUCGGAUUAGGUUGUGGUGGGGGCAAAGGCCUACCAAGCCGACGAUCUGUAGCUGGUCUGGGAGGACGACCAGCCACACUGGGACGGAGACACGGCCCAGACUCCUACGGGAGGCAGCAGUGGGGAAUUUUGGACAAUGGGGGUAACCCUGAUCCAGCCAUGCCGCGUGCGGGAAGAAGGCCUUCGGGUUGUAAACCGCUUUUUUCAGGGAAGAAACGCUUCGAGCUAAUACCUCGAGGUAAUGACGGUACCUGAAGAAUAAGCACCGGCUAACUACGUGCCAGCCGCCGCCGUAACAC